rnacentral:rRNA from 1 species
GGUCCCACCUGAUCCCAUGCCGAACUCAGAAGUGAAACGCCGUAGCGCCGAUGGUAGUGUGGGGUCUCCCCAUGCGAGAGUAGGACACUGCCAGGCA